rnacentral:rRNA from 1 species
UGGGGAAUAUUGCACAAUGGGCGCAAGCCUGAUGCAGCCAUGCCGCGUGUAUGAAGAAGGCCUUCGGGUUGUAAAGUACUUUCAGCGGGGAGGAAGGCGAUAAGGUUAAUAACCUUGUCGAUUGACGUUACCCGCAGAAGAAGCACCGGCUAACUCCGUGCCAGCAGCCGCGGUAAUACGGAGGGUGCAAGCGUUAAUCGGAAUUACUGGGCGUAAAGCGCACGCAGGCGGUCUGUCAAGUCGGAUGUGAAAUCCCCGGGCUCAACCUGGGAACUGCAUUCGAAACUGGCAGGCUAGAGUCUUGUAGAGGGGGGUAGAAUUCCAGGCGUAGCGGUGAAAUGCGUAGAGAUCUGGAGGAAUACCGGUGGCGAAGGCGGCCCCCUGGACAAAGACUGACGCUCAGGUGCGAAAGCGUGGGGAGCAAACA